rnacentral:rRNA from 1 species
UACGGGGGGAGCAAGCGUUGUUCGGAUUUACUGGGCGUAAAGGGCGCGUAGGCGGCCACCGCAAGUCGACUGUGAAAUCUCCGGGCUUAACCCGGAAAGGUCAGCCGAUACUGCGGGGCUAGAGUGCAGAAGGGGCAACUGGAAUUCUCGGUGUAGCGGUGAAAUGCGUAGAUAUCGAGAGGAACACCAGUGGCGAAGGCGGCUUACUGGUCCGGUACUGACGCUGAGGUGCGAAAGCGUGGGGAGCAAACAGG